rnacentral:lncRNA from 10 species
GCGACCCCAUGAAACAGCACAUGCCUAGUUGGCCUCUGCCCGGGCACUGAGCACGGGAUGCCCCACAGGUCUUUACUCAUAGGCAAACGACCUCUAUGGUCCAGAAAACCACAAGCCACGUAAGUUAUCCUAGCCAUGGGGAAUGCCUGGCAGAAGCAAAUGCAAAUUAUUUCUGGAAGGACUCUCCCUUAACCUUGGUUUAAACAAAGUCAAUCCCAACCCAAUCUGGCAUUUGUAACACACAUGAAAUGAGCCACUCCGAGUGAAGGGCAGCAGAAACAAACAUCAUCCUCGCUGAAGAAUAUGAGAUGGCUGUUCAUACACCACAGUCACAGGAAAGGUGAAGUCAAAAACAAGGUGUCAAAAAUAAGGACAGACAUUUGAAAGCCAAAUAAUGACUAGGUAGAAGAGACUGAAAUCUCAAACUCGGGGCACAGUCACAGCCCAAUAGAAAAUUAAUAAACUAGAAGGCAGGAUGAGUAAAUCUGCCAUAAUGCAGCAUAGAAGAACAAAGAAAGGAAAUACAAGAGAGCAUAAAAGGUACGAAAGAUGCAGAAGCGUAGCAUCUGGUCACAUUUCCCCGAAGCCAAGAAGGGGAGAUAACUCUAUUCAAAGAAGCUGAUGAGUUUCCCAAAUCGAUGAAAGACCUCAGGACCCAGAUUUAAAAAGCAAAACAUUCCAAGCAAGAUCAAAGCAAUCUUCACCUACACCAAUUGCUUUGAAGUUGAAGAACAUCAAAAGACAAAGGCUCUCUAAAAGGCAGCCAGAGAGAGAGGGCAGGCUAAGAAAGAGAAGGAAAUAAUUAGGAUGACAGGCAACUCAUGAACAACAAUAAUAAAAGCCAGAAGACUGCGGAGUAAGUUCAAAGAGGAGAGAGAAAUGUCAUCUCUAAAAUGGUGUAACAUUAGGUAUCGUUUAAGAUCCAGGAGAAAAGCAGAGACCAAGAAGAAACACGUCAUUAUGAGCCUGCUCUCGCUAGAGGCAUAGUGAAGGAAGGGCUGAGUGCAAGAAAGCAUGUUAAGCAAAGAGACGUGUGAGUGUGUGAGUUAAUGUAAAACCUGGAAUGGAACAGUCAUAACGAGGAGUCACCAAGGCCAAAUUACCCUCCUGAACAAAGACACGGGGGUGGAGAGGAGGGUGCUUAGAGCCACAGCGACGUGAGAUUGCGGCUUCAUCUGGGAGGAAAGUGAGUCUCAUUAUCCUCAGGCUCAGAAAAUCACUAAAGUUCAGCACUUGAAUGAGAGCCCCAAACCUCGUUCUCUUCCCAGGGCACUGGGUCCACGCUGGAGCAUCCCAGAGCUGAUCAAUCCCUCUGGAAGCAGGGACACCCCUGGCUCCAUAGGAUUCCAUUUUGCUGAACUACUGGUUCAGAAACACAAGAGCCUGACAUCUAUGGGAACACAGAGCCAGAAAACCCAGGCACAGACCAGGACAUCUCCGAGGUAUUUCCAGCAGGUAUCUGCUAGACGCGUUCUCUCUGCCAGCCCGCUGACUUGCUAGCUGUGGAGCAACUGCAGUACGUGCCCGUCCCUGUCACCAGGGGCUGGCCAUCAACAGAAGCUGCUCCUUCCAAGCCGGCCACGCGUCUACUACUUCAUCAUCCUCUCGGGGGUGCAUCCACGGCUCUCCCUACAAUGGGAGCUUCCUGAGAGGCACUUUCAUUUCUCUGUGCUUCCUCUGGGCUCACCAGCAAGUGCUAAACUGAAGGAAGAUAGAGUUAAAUUGUUUAGCAAUCAGAGUUUCUAUGACUGUCCAUCAUCACUGCAUCUCUUCUAUGACAUGAGACAUUGGUGCGAUGUGUCAUUAUGUUCAAAUGUGUGGGUCGGCCAGGGUGUAUCUGUAUGGACUGAAUGUGUCCCCAUAAAAUUUGUAUGUUGAAGCCCUAACCCCCAAUAUGAGGAUAUUUGGAGCUGGGGCCUUUGGGAGGUAAUUAAGUUAGAUGAGGUCAGAUGGACAUGGCCCCUGUGGUUGAGAUUAGCCCUAAUACCAAGAGAUAGCAGAGAGCUCCACCCUACUGUUGGCCACGUGCACACAUAGGGAGAAGGGGGCCGUCUAUAAGCAAGGAAGAGAGCCCUCAUCAGAAACCGAUCGCGCCAGCAUGCUGAUCUUGGAUCUGAGGCCUCCAGAACUGAGGGAAAAUAAAUGUCUGCUGUUGAAGUCACCCAGUCCAUAUUGUUUUGUUAUGGCAGCUGGGGUAAGACAGUGUCCUUCUCGGUUUCUACCCUUAACAGGAUAAAAAUCCCUGGAGCAAACCCUCUCCUUCCUCCCAAAGGAGCCAUGGGAAGCCACUCUCUACAAUUUGCAGCAAACACGGAAGCACCAGAAUCCUGCACGUAUGCUCGGAGGAAACGCACAGAGGACAAAUGCAGGGUCGCAGGAUACAAGAAUGGCAAAGGCUGACUCCAGAGAACGUUGUUAAGCUUCAAAUCUAUACUGUGCAUUGGAAGGUAAACAAGCAUCAUCCACACAACUAACUGACUGCAUUCACCAGCACACUCUGAAGUCUUCAACUACUGCUAUUAAUCUAUUUUUCUCAACAUUAUUUUCUUUCCUCAUUCUUGGAUUUCUUUUUAUUUAUGUAUUUAUUUUUUGAGAUGGAGUCUUGCUCUGUCGCCAGGCUGGAGUGCAGUGGCGCGAUCUCAGCUCACUGCAACCUCUGCCUCCCGGGUUCAAGUGAUUCUCCUGCCUCAGCCUCCUGAGUAGCUGGGACUACAGGCACAUGUCACCACGCCCAGCUAAUUUUUGUAUUUUCAGUAGAGACGAGGUUUCACCAUGUUGGCCAGGAUGGUCUCCAUCUCUUGACCUCGUGAUCCACCCACUUCGGCCUCCCAAAGUGCUGGGAUUAUAGGCGUAUGCCACUGCGCCUGGCCUCAUUCUCGGAUUUCUUUAACCUCUCCUUGGAGGGGACACAGAACUGGAUGACAAGGAAGAAACACUCCUGGGAGAUGUGGUUGGGGGCAGGAUAGAGAGAACAAAGGCCAGGGCCAGGCAAGGCUGGGGAAAGGAUGAAGGCUGAGAUUUGGGGGGUGAGGGAGGUGUCCAGAAGAUGAUGAGACGUUCAGGAGAAUGGGAGGGCAGGAAAACAGGGCAAGGUUUGGACGGGUCUCCCCGCUGCCGGGGGUCUGGUACUGCCUGUGCAGCGCAGGCUGGAGGGAAAAUGUAAGCUGCCCAGUGCCGCUGCCCUGCCCACCCCUGCUGCACCUCUGAGUCACUCAGUUCUUCCAAAGGAAAAGCUGGGAAGAAGGAGUUCGGUGUCUGGACUUCUAAUCAGCUUGUUCCUUACAGCACUAUUUACUGAGGGAAAGAUUUUAAAUGUUCAGCUAGGAAAACUGGUGGAAUAUAUUAGGAUACAUCAUGACAAAAAGAUGCAGCCUUUGACACACAACCUCUUAUAGUAUUUUUAACAACAGGCGGAAAGAGCCCUAUGUAACAUGAAGAAAAGUUAGAGACAAAGCCAUAUAUAUGUACGGUCCAGUCAGAUACCAAUUAGAUAAGCAGACUCGACAGAGACUAGAAAGAACACACGAAAAGCAGUAACAGGGACUAUUCUGUACUGGAGAAUUAAGGGCUAUUUUUCUUUUUUUCCAUUUUGGUAAUUUUGCAGGUUCUCUAGAAGCAUAAUUUGUGUUUGUAAUCUUUUUUUUUUUUUUUUUUUUUUGAGACAGUCUCACUCUGCCACCUAGGCCGGAGUGCAGUGGUGCGAUCUCGGCUCAUGGCAACCUCCGCCUCCCGGGUUCAAGUGAUUCCCGUGCUUCAGCCUCCUGAGUAGCUGGGAUUAGAGACACGCGCCACCACGGCCGGCUAAUUUUUGUAUUUUAGUAGAGAUGAGGUUUCACCAUGUUGGCCAGGUUGGUCUCAAACUCCUGACCUCGGGUGAUCUGCCUGCCUUGGCCUGCCAAAGUGCUGGGAUUACAGGCGUGAGCCACCACGCCUGGCUGUAUCUGUAAUCUUUAGAGGUAUUAAAAAAAAUAUAUCUUCAACUAAAGCUUAGACUGAUAGAAGAGGCAAAAGCAGGGCAAGAGAGAGGUGGCCCGACGCACACAUUUUGGUUGCUGGGGUCUCAUAACAGAACGGAACUUCUGAGGAUUCUGCCCCAUGCCCUGCUCUGGGGAGAGGGGUCCAUCGCCACCCCGCACAGCCGGUGAGUCCCCACACCAGCAGCCCCAGCCCCCACUCGCCUCGCCGCUCUGCAAUCUGCAGGUAGCCAGUGGACAGGUACUGCUCCAUGUCCUGCUGGAAGGCUUCCUCAAAAAACUUCUGCCGCU